rnacentral:rRNA from 1 species
AUACAGAGGGUGCGAGCGUUAAUCGGAAUUACUGGGGGUAAAGCGCGCGUAGGCGGCUUAUUAAGUCAGAUGUGAAAUCCCCGGGCUCAACCUGGGAACUGCAUCUGAUACUGGUAAGCUAGAGUUUUGGAGAGGGAAGUAGAAUUUCAGGUGUAGCGGUGAAAUGCAUAGAGAUCUGAAGGAAUACCAGUGGCGAAGGCGACUUCCUGGCCAAAAACUGACGCUGAGGUGCGAAAGCGUGGGUAGCAAACGGGAUUAGAAACCCUAGUAGUCC